rnacentral:rRNA from 1 species
UACGGAGGGUGCAAGCGUUAUCCGGAUUCACUGGGUUUAGGGUGCGUAGGUGGGUUGGUAAGUCAGUGGUGAAAUCUCCGAGCUUAACUUGGAAACUGCCAUUGAUACUAUCAAUCUUGAAUACUGUGGAGGUCAGCGGAAUAUGUCAUGUAGCGGUGAAAUGCUUAGAUAUGACAUAGAACACCCAUUGCGAAGGCAGCUUACUACGGAUACAUUGACACUGAGGCACGAAAGCGUGGGGAUCAAACAGG